rnacentral:rRNA from 1 species
GAUGAACGCUGGCGGCGUGCCUAAUACAUGCCAGUCGAGCGAACAGACGAGGAGCUUGCUCCUCUGACGUUAGCGGCGGACGGGUGAGUAACACGUGGAUAACCUACCUAUAAGACUGGGAUAACUUCGGGAAACCGGAGCUAAUACCGGAUAAUAUAUUGAACCGCAUGGUUCAAUAGUGAAAGACGGUUUUGCUGUCACUUAUAGAUGGAUCCGCGCCGCAUUAGCUAGUUGGUAAGGUAACGGCUUACCAAGGCAACGAUGCGUAGCCGACCUGAGAGGGUGAUCGGCCACACUGGAACUGAGACACGGUCCAGACUCCUACGGGAGGCAGCAGUAGGGAAUCUUCCGCAAUGGGCGAAAGCCUGACGGAGCGACGCCGCGUGAGUGAUGAAGGUCUUCGGAUCGUAAAACUCUGUUAUUAGGGAAGAACAAAUGUGUAAGUAACUAUGCACGUCUUGACGGUACCUAAUCAGAAAGCCACGGCUAACUACGUG